rnacentral:misc_RNA from 1 species
AACGCAACUUGCGCUCCCGGGAUAUGCCUGGGAGCAUGCUUUCUUGAGCGUCGGUUCUAUCAUCAUCUCACUGAUCUUUGGGUUAGUGGAGAAUGAGUUUCCAAGCGCGUUCAUUCGCGUUUGGAGGCUUGAAAUAAUUGAUUGGGGCAUCUCUUAGCGAAUCUAUCUCGAGUCGCAAUUAAUGCUCUGUGACGUGGAUAAUUUCACCUUCAGUGGUGUAUCCUUAACGUUGCAGAGUAGCGUCUUCGAGUUUGCUUUCAGAUAACUCAUAAGCGACUAAGGUGCGAUUUUCCGCACUCUUAUUCAAACUUCAAUCCUUUUGGAUAUUUAGACCUCAAGUAAAGUAAGAUUACCCGCUGAACUUAA